CCUACCACCCCAUGGUUGUCUCCGUUGUGGAAAGCCCCAUUACCACUAAAGAUUAAGAUUUUCUUCUGGCAAUUACUUCGCGACCGCCUCCCCUCGGGGACUGAGGUACUUAAGCGGCAUGGCCCUGGCAAUGGCUUAUGCCCCCUGUGUGCGGUACCGGAGACUAGGACGCAUAUCCUUUUCUCCUGUACCGCGGCACGAGUGUUGUGGACGUUCGUCCGCGAGGCAUUGGGACCUGACUGGGAGUCCCUAAACCUAGUGGAGUUCCUCUAG
rnacentral:rRNA from 1 species